AUGGCUUCUUCUUCCGUGCUGCUCGGAGCCUCGGCCACGGCCGCGCUCACCGGCACCCCGGCAGGCAAGGCCCUUCCCCGGCCUUGCUUCCUCGCCGCUCGCCCGCGCACCGUGAGCGGUGGCCGUCUCUGCCUGCAGAACGCUCCAAGGGCGACUCCGGCGUACAACGACGCUGCGGAUGCCACCGACAAGGCCAUCGACGGCGUGAAGGGGGUGGCCGACGAGUUGAAGAAGGGCGUGGCGGAGGCUGCGGAGGCCGUCUCGGGCAACACCGAGAAGGCCGCGGAGGAAGCCGGCAAGGGCGCGAGCGAGGUGGACGCGAAGGCCAAGGACUUCGGCGAGCAGGCGAAGAAGGCGACGGAGGAGGCGUGGGACGGCGCCAAGGACGCCGCACAGGGCAUCACGGACAAAGUCGCCGCCGCGGCCAAAAAGGAAGCUAGCUAA
rnacentral:rRNA from 1 species